CACUCAACAGCUAGCCUCACCCCGCCAAAAACAACAAACCACCAUUAAUAACCCCCAAUACACUACCACAACCCCAAACUAAACCAUUCUACCCCCCAAGUAUGGGCGACAGAAAAGGACCCUCAGAGCUAUAGAAAAAGUACCGCAAGGGAACGCUGAAAAAGAAAUGAAACAACCCAGUAAAGUCAAAAAAAGCAGAGACUAGGCCUCGUACCUUUUGCAUCAUGAUUUAGCCAGUACCCCCCAAGCAAAGCGCACUUUAGUUUGACCCCCCGAAACUAAGUGAGCUACUCCAAGAUAGCCUAAUAACAGGGCCAACCCGUCUCUGUGGCAAAAGAGUGGGAAAAGCUUCGAGUAGAGGUGAUAAACCUACCGAACUUAGUUAUAGCUGGUUGUCUGGGAACUGAAUAGAAGUUCAGCCUCCCGGCUUCUUUAUUCAUCUUUGUCUUACCCCCUCCGAUGCCUUAAGAAACCGAGAGAGUUAUUCAAAGGGGGUACAGCCCCUUUGAUCAAGAUACAACUUUACCAGGUGGAUAAAGAUCACAUAUUAAAACCAAGGCAAAAUGUUCUAGUGGGCCUAAAAGCAGCCACCUCAACAGAAAGCGUUAAAGCUCAGACAUCCCCAUUCAGCCCAUAAUCCCGAUAAUCCAAUCUUAAUCCCCUAACAUUACCAGACCGCCUCAUGCAAACAUGAGGGCGACCAUGCUAAUAUGAGUAAUAAGAAAGACCCCCCUUUCUCCUCGCACACGUGUAAAUCGGAACGGACCCCCCACCGAAUAUUAAUCGGCCUCAAACAAAGAGAGAAAUGAAUAAACAAACAAAACAACUAGAAAAACAUUCAACCGACCACCGUUAGCCCCACACUGGUGUGCCCCCCAGGAAAGACUAAAAGAAAAAGAAGGAACUCGGCAAACACAAGCCUCGCCUGUUUACCAAAAACAUCGCCUCUUGCAACACUAAAGAAUAAGAGGUCCCGCCUGCCCUGUGACAUACGUGUUUAACGGCCGCGGUAUUUUGACCGUGCAAAGGUAGCGCAAUCACUUGUCUUUUAAAUGAAGACCUGUAUGAAUGGCAUAACGAGGGCUUAGCUGUCUCCUUUUUCAAGUCAAUGAAAUUGAUCUCCCCGUGCAGAAGCGGGGAUAACCCCAUAAGACGAGAAGACCCUAUGGAGCUUUAGACACAAGGCAGAUCUUGUUAAUCACCUUUAAACAAAAAGCUAAACCAGAAGAACCCUGCCCUAAUGUCUUUGGUUGGGGCGACCGCGGGGAAACAAACAACCCCCACGUGGAUUAGGAGAACUUCUCCCACAACCAAGAGCCACAGCUCUAAGCAACAGAAUCUCUGACCAUCAGAUCCGGCUACACGCCGAUCAACGGACCGAGUUACCCUAGGGAUAACAGCGCAAUCCCCUUUUAGAGCCCAUAUCGACAAGGGGGUUUACGACCUCGAUGUUGGAUCAGGACAUCCUAAUGGUGCAGCCGCUAUUAAGGGUUCGUUUGUUCAACGAUUAAAGUCCU
rnacentral:rRNA from 1 species